rnacentral:rRNA from 1 species
UACGUAGGCAGCAAGCGUUUGUUCGGAAUUACUGGGCGUAAAGGGUGCGUAGGCGGCUUUUUAAGUUUGGUGUGAAAUCUCCCGGCUCAACUGGGAGGGUGCGCCGAAUACUGAGAAGCUAGAGUGUGGGAGAGGAAAGUGGAAUUCCUGGUGUAGCGGUGAAAUGCGUAGAUAUCAGGAGGAACACCGGUGGUGUAAACGCUUUCUGGACCAUAACUGACGCUGAGGCACGAAAAGCGUGGGUAGCAAACAGG